UAUUUGACUUCCUCAGUAACUGCAAGGACGCCGUGAGGCUGGCCGCAAAGCAAUUGAAAAGAAAAAAGCAGAUUGUUGAUUGGCUCCCCGCGAGCAGCGGCUCGGAAAGCACCGCAUCGGCAGCAAAAAACCCAAAACAAACGCCUGCAUACUUAACAAGCCCUGAACACGGAGGGAAAGUAUGUCCAAUAAACCUCUUUUACGAUGUGUUGCGCUCUGAACGGCUUGGCACGACGCCGCGGAAGGUUUUAAAGAAGCAGACGGUCGGAUUCCGUGCUCGCCUCGGCAGACGAGGGACGACAUUCCGCAUUCCUGAAACGACGACGACUCCUCUGCAGAAAGACGACAAAAGAGCGAUUCGUCAACUCGGGGCCAAACGGCAGAGGGAAAAGAAAAACUUGCCACUCGAUGUGAUAACACGCUGUCCUUGUAACGGGGGAGCUUAUCUGGCCGCGACGGCGGAAGGGCCGGCCCGCAUUCUUUUGUGCUGACCUCACGCAGGAACACCGUGAACCCAAAAAGGCUUCAUGGAAAUUCGAGCAGCAAACCAAUAUUGUAGAUCGCGGCCGCCUUUCGCGUCGAUGUCCAGGAAAACGCUCGUGCGCCUUCUUCGCUUGCCGCCUUUCGUUCAUCACAUCUGCACGCGACCAUGCAGAAGAAGCAACGGAGGCUUCUCACGGGCAGGAAUGCCCGCAGAUCGGUUGGACGGCUGCCCCAGAAAGACGACGCUCUCGACUUUCUCCAGGGAGCGACAAAGUACAAAUACCUUCUCAGGACCUUUCUGUACUUAACUCGGUCGACAUGGGGGAAAAAAAGAUGUCAACUGCAGUCAAGACUUUGACUGAUUGCCAAAUUCAAAUUUGGUUGCUUGGUGAAGAUAAGCGGUACAGAAAAUGGAUGGAUGGAUGAAAUGGAAUCAAGAUGGA